UUUAAUUCUUUUUAACUUAAAAAAGUUUCAUUUGAAAAGAAAUAGAAAAUCGACCAAAUGAUUUUUUCCAACCAAAUGAUUUAUUAUGAUUAUAAAAGUAUAAUCCCGUCCCCAUAUGCUGAAUCAAAUCUAUAAUUUCUAAUCUUUGCCUGCUCAUUCUCGGCUUAAAUUAUUUCAAACUCAAGAAAAAAAAAUAAUCAUAGAGCUCCACUUUUAACUUAAUUAAUAACUAAUUAAUCAAUUUCUCCAAAAUAAAUAUAGAAAAACCUAUCAGAAGCAAUUUCAG
rnacentral:misc_RNA from 1 species